rnacentral:rRNA from 1 species
AGUAACGCGUGAGGAACCUGCCUUCCAGAGGGGGACAACAGUUGGAAACGACUGCUAAUACCGCAUGACACAUGACCGUGGCAUCACGGACAUGUCAAAGAUUUAUCGCUGGAAGAUGGCCUCGCGUCUGAUUAGCUGGUAGGCGGGGUAACGGCCCACCUAGGCGACGAUCAGUAGCCGGACUGAGAGGUUGACCGGCCACAUUGGGACUGAGAUACGGCCCAGACUCCUACGGAAGGCAGCAG